GGCUUAGCUCAGUUGGUAGAGCACCUGAUUUGUAAUCAGGGGGUCGCGGGUUCGAUCCCUGCAGCCG
rnacentral:tRNA from 1 species